GGGCCGCGCGGGCGCUGGGUGUGGUCCCGGGGCCGCCCGCCUCGCCCCGCCCCGCCCCGCCCACGGCCAGCUGGGUGCAGACCCCGCCUCCAGCCGCUCGGCACCUCCCCGCGCGUCCACCUGGGGCCGCCUAGCUUGACCUCCCCGCAGGCGUUUCUCUUUCUUCUUCUUACCCUCGGCCCUAGCCCAGCUGCUUUUUUCGUACUUCUCUACCCCUUCUUACAUCCCAGUUGUAUUCUGGUUCCCACCUUCUGCUUUUCUACAGGGCAGAGGCGCAAAAGACACCCUCGCACAACGCCCCCCCUGAAGUGCCCGCGACGAGGCGCCCUCUUCUUUCCAACGACACGCCUCCAGGUGUUUCAGAUGGCUGUGUAACAUACAUACAGAAGAGUGCAUAAAUUAUAAUUCUAGAGCUCAGUGAGCUUCCCAGAGUGAACAUACUUUCAUGACCUACCUGGGUCAAGAAUCAGCACAUUACCAGAAAUAGAAGCCACUUCCAGCCUCUUCUUGCUGCCAUCCUGAAGGGUUGAAUUUCCCCCUCAUUGGCAGCUUGGGAAUAUCUGUGUUCAGGGAAAGGAAGAAAACGCCUGGAGUUUCAAUGGGCUACAGGUAAAUUUGACCAGAGAAAGUUGCAGGGGUGAGAAUAAGCCUAUGAAAACGAC